rnacentral:rRNA from 1 species
CUACACACCCCGUACCAGCUCCCAUGGAAAGAGUCGUCUUUUAACAGGAAGUUUCAAGUAUUGAACAGUUCACGAGGUACGGCCAGAUUUAUGCCUCAUAGGAUGCCUUAGAUUCUCGACGCCCCAGUGAGUAUCCAAUCGCUUGAUCCAUUCACAGCCCGGUAAUCGAGGUGCGACCUAUCGAUAUGGGUAGGCCAUGCAGUGUCAUAGUCAGAUUGAAGUCGGGCUCACUCGACUGCAUGAACUGCGACUAGAGUACUUAGAGGGGGUAGAUUUCAGGUGUAGCGUGAAUGCGUAGAGAUCUGAAGAUACAGUGGCGAAGCGCCCCCUGACAGAUACUGACACUCAGAUGCGAAAGCGUGGGAGCAAACAGGAUUAGAUACCCUGGUAGUCACGCCGUAAACGAUGUCUACUUGGAGGUUGUGCCCUGAGCCGUGGCUUUCGGAGCUAACGCGUUAAGUAGACCGCCUGGGGAGUACGGUCGCAAGAUUAAAACUCAAAUGAAUUGACGGGGGCCCGCACAAGCGGUGGAGCAUGUGGUUUAAUUCGAUGCAACGCGAAGAACCUUACCUACUCUUGACAUCCAGAGAAGCCAGCGGAGACGCAGGUGUGCCUUCGGGAGCUCUGAGACAGGUGCUGCAUGGCUGUCGUCAGCUCGUGUUGUGAAAUGUUGGGUUAAGUCCCGCAACGAGCGCAACCCUUAUCCUUGUUUGCCAGCGAGUAAUGUCGGGAACUCCAGGGAGACUGCCGGUGAUAAACCGGAGGAAGGUGGGGACGACGUCAAGUCAUCAUGGCCCUUACGAGUAGGGCUACACACGUGCUACAAUGGCGCAUACAGAGGGCUGCGAACUUGCGAGAGUGAGCGAAUCCCAAAAAGUGCGUCGUAGUCCGGAUUGGAGUCUGCAACUCGACUCCAUGAAGUCGGAAUCGCUAGUAAUCGUAGAUCAGAAUGCUACGGUGAAUACGUUCCCGGGCCUUGUACACACCGCCCGUUACACCAUGGGAGUGGGCUGCAAAAGAAGUGGGUAGUUUAACCUUCGGGAGGACGCUCACCACUCUGUGGUUCAUGACUGGGGUGAAGUCGUAACAAGGUAA